GAGGUUCAAGACGCUCUACUGUAGUGAAGAGGUUCAAGACGCUCUACUGUAGUGAAGAGGUUCAAGACGCUCUACUGUAGUGAAGAGGUUCAAGACGCUCUACUGUAGUGAAGAGGUUCAAGACGCUCUACUGUAGUGAAGAGGUUCAAGACGCUCUACUGUAGUGAAGAGGUUCAAGACGCUCUACUGUAGUGAAGAGGUUCAAGACGCUCUACUGUAGUGAAGAGGUUCAAGACGCUCUACUGUAGUGAAGAGGUUCAAGACGCUCUACUGUAGUGAAGAGGUUCAAGACGCUCUACUGUAGUGAAG